CCAUGGGCCAGAGUCUGCAAGAAGCAGCUGAUCGGUCACGUGAUUUGCAGAAGGGAGAAGUGUGUCACAUGCCUUUCUGCAGUUUCCAGUCAACCAAAAUGGCUUUGCAAAGCGGCUUCCACGCGCGGAUUCUGUUAGGAGUUUUCUUUUUUGUCAGUGCGUCGUUCGUCCCGUGCGAUGCUCGUUUGAGAAACUUACAUUUUGGGACGCUGUUUGAUGUUGAGCAUACACUCGGAAAUGGCACCGCAGAAGAGCUGUGGUUCACUCAAAGACUGGAUCAUUUUAACGGCGCCGACAGACGAGUUUGGAAACAGAGGUACUUUGUGAACGACAGUUUCUUCAGAAGUGGCGGUCCGGUUUUCUUGAUGAUCGGUGGGGAAGGUCCAGCGAAUCCCGCGUGGAUGCAGUUCGGGACCUGGCUGACGUAUGCUCAGAAGCUCGGAGCGCUCUGUUUGAUGCUGGAGCACCGCUUCUAUGGGAAGAGCCGCCCGACUGAGGAUAUGAGCUUGGAGAACCUGCGCUACCUGAGCAGCCGCCAGGCGCUGGCCGACCUCGCGCACUUCCGCACCGCCAUGGCGGAGGCCCGCGGGCUGGCGAACAGGAAGUGGGUGGCGUUCGGUGGCUCGUACCCCGGCUCCCUGGCGGCCUGGUUCCGGCUGAAAUACCCACACCUCAUCCACGCUGCCGUGGCAACCAGCGCACCUGUGCAUGCUGUGCUCAACUUCCCAGAGUACCUUGAAGUGGUUCGGCGGUCCCUUGCUGCUGAGAACCUAGACUGCCCUCUGCUGGUGCAAAAGGCAUCCGACACCCUGCUGGAGCGUCUGAAAGACCCGAAGGCCUACAACAACAUCACUGAGGACUUCAAGCUGUGUGAGAAGCUGCAGAUCCAGACUGAUAUGGACUCUGCGUACCUCCUGGAGUCGCUGGCUGGGAACUUCAUGGAUGUGGUCCAGUACAACCAGGACAACCGGGCAUUUGAGGGUGUAGUUGGGACGAACAUCACCAUCCAGGUGUUGUGUGGGCUGAUGCUGGACGCGUCUCUGGGGGAGCCGUACGACAGGUAUGCAGCCGUCGCCCGCCUCAUGCUCCAGACCUUCUCCCAAAAGUGCCUGGAUGCCAGCUACACCAACUACGUGCGGGACAUGAGGAAUGCGUCCUGGAGCAGUCCUGCCUCAGGAGGACGGCAGUGGGUUUAUCAGACCUGCACGGAGUUUGGGUUCUACCAGAGCACCGACUCGCCCAACCAGCCUUUCAGCGGCUUCCCCCUGCCGUACCAUGUGAAGCAGUGUGGGGAUGUGUUCGACCCCUCCCUGACCGCGGACGCCAUCGCCAGCGCCGUUCAGGAGACCAAUGAGCAGUACGGCGGCUACGACAUCCACACCAGCCGAAUCGUCUUCCCCAAUGGCUCCAUCGACCCCUGGCAUGCCCUGAGCGUCACCAGGGACAUCAGCGAUGACCUGCCCGCCGUCUUCAUCCAGGAGUCCAAGCUAAACCCUACCUGAGCUGUUGCUUUUGAACUCUGGCCUGAAAGGACUGAAGGUGUGCAUUGUGAAGGCACCGCCCACUGUGCAAACAUGUACCCGGCGCGGGGGCAGGAUCUCCCCCAGCUCAGCCUGGCCCGGGACCACGUGUACCUGCUACUGCAGAAGUGGCUGAAGCAGUGACCUCUUCCUAAAGCCCCCCCCCCCCCCCCCCCCCACAGCCCGAGCCCAGAUCACUAUGGCCUUUAAGUUCCUGUGGCCUAAAGCACUUUAAUGUCUCUCGCUGCAAUGCUCGUUUUGUAAAUCUCUAAAUAAAUGUAUUGAGGUACGAUA